rnacentral:lncRNA from 1 species
AUCAAAUACUAACGAGGCUGGAAUUGCAAUUGAAGAAGCUGAUGAGGAUCAUGGUGAAGAGGAUGAGCUUGCAAUGCAGAUGAUAGAGGAAUUACUCAACUGGAAUAGUUAUCCAAUUCCUUCACCUACAAGUAAUGUUCAAGAAGGGAAUUAAAGUUAAGUGACUAGGUGCUCCUCUAGUACUUAUAAUUUCAGUUACGUAUAGUGGUAAUCCAUAAAAUUUUACCACACUAACAAUGUUAGUGAUUGGUGAAUGGUGAAAACUGUAGAAAAUUAAUAUAUUCAGGUAAUUGCUUAUUGAUGAUGAUUAAUGUAGGUGCUUGGAUAUUGUUGUGGCAAAAGUAGUGUAGAUGAACCGACCACUUUUUGCAGACUAUUUGAUUUUAGUAUAGCUAUAACUAAAGGUAUACAUAUAUGGUAUUGACACCUACUGGUGUAGAUCAUCUCAAAGAGGAUUUCUGUUCCUGGUAAAAAAGUUUGGUAUCUUUGUUUUUGGUCAAUAACUUGUUCAGUUGGUUAUUAAAUUGAGUAGAAGAUUAAACAAGUCCAAUAUUAGUUUUAACAAGCAAGUGAGGUUCUCUAUUUUGAUAACAAUGCAAUAACCAAAAUUCAGAAGGAGAAGUUAUAUGUUACUGAUGUUAGGCUUCAGCAACUAGCACUAGUUAUAUGUUACUGAUGUUUUAUGGACUAAGACAGAUCAGAAGGAUGUUUUAAUAUAUGAGACAUAAAUUCAAACCUAUAUUAUAAGUGAUGAAUCCCACUGAUUGAAUAUGGAAUCCAAGAAAACCUGUAAUCAGCGAGGUCAGUUUAUCAGAC